GGGUUGCUAGCUCAGUUGGUAGAGCAUCUGACUUUUAAUCAGGUGGUCACAGGUUCGAUCCCUGUGCAACCCA
rnacentral:tRNA from 1 species